GGCGGGGCGGCCGCGGAGAGGUGGACGGGGGCCGCGCGGGGACACGGCGCGUCGGCUGCGACGAAGCCCCUUCGCCCGGCGGCCGGGCUGGGGAAAGGCGCCCGCGGGCCCGGCGCGCAGUCCUCUCGGGAACCGGCCGAGGAAUCGUGGCUCGGGGACGGAGAGGCGGCCACCCGUGACACGAAAUGAAAGCUUGCUAACAGUGCCGUCCCGGCACCGAGAAUUCUCCCCACUCUGGCCAAUGAAAAGCCUGGUUGAGAGAAACUGCAGUUAGGACAAUUAUUUGAAAGGUUCAGGUUUGAAGGUUACACUUACAGGAAUUCUGAUUCGAGAGAUCCCAUGAAAUCAUUUUCAAGAGGUCUUCAAGUGAGCGUGAUGUCAAGCCAGAUUGGAAACCACUGGACUAUAUUUUAGCCUGAGUCAAGCCAGACAAAGACCACUUUAUCAUCACCCUUGCAAAAUUGCCCAUACCAAGUCAUGCUUUAUCGUUAUGCCAUCUGCUUAUAUUAAGAAAUGCUGUUAAAGGGCGCCUGGGUGGCUCAGUUGGUUAAGCAACUGCCUUCGGCUCAGGUCAUGAUCCUGGAGUCCCUGGAUCGAGUCCCGCAUCGGGCUCCCUGCUCGGCGGGGAGUCUGCUUCUCCCUCUGACCCUCCCCCCUCCCAUGUGCUCUCUCUCUCCUCUCAUCCUCUCUCUCAAAUAAAUAAAUAAAAUCUUUAAAAAAAAGAAAUGCUGUUAAAAAAGAAAUACGACAUUAUUUUAUAACUCUGUAACAGAAUCCUACCAGAUUGCCCAUCCCAGAGUUUCCCAAACUUUUUAGACCAUAAUCCACCCAAAGAAAUACAUUUUAUGUUAUCAUCCAAUACAUAUGCACCUAUACCUUUAAUAACUGAAACAAGUUUUAUAAAAUAUCCAUACCACAUGCUAUGCACCCAGAUAUUUUUAUCUCUUUUUAAUGUUGGUUUAAGCCCAUUAAACAGUUUCUUCACCCCCUACAUGAGUGUAUUUAAAAAACAGCAGAACGGUGUCUUUUUCUGGAAACUAGCCUUGGAUCCUCAGACAAGGUAACUAGGCCACCAGGCUACAGUCGAUUGCUCCAAGUAGGUACCUGAUUCAAGCUGAGCCAAUCAUCUCUCUCUCCCAGGAAUUUGGAAGUAGGACUGAGAGAUUUCAGUUUUUCUCUAGGUAGCUAACAUGGAAACAGAGAAAAUCAGUUGAUGUCCACAGACAUGCUUCCCACCACAUGGCCUGGAGAAAUACAGAAGACCAGGCUGCAAGAAAAAUGUGAAAAGAAUAGGAAGGAUGAAAAAGAUCCACAAAGAGAAAGGAAAAGAGACCAAAGAGAGUUCUGACAGUUUUCUAUCCCCGAUCCUAGUAUUUCCUGAAAUGAGCUGCAUUCCUAGAAUUCCAUGGAAUAUUUCAAAUCUUUAUAUUAAAGUGCCCUCUUUUGCUUAAGCUAGUUCAAGUGGCUGAGUGUCUGUUAUUGCAUCCAAGAUGGAUCUAAUUAUACUAGUUUUAUACGGCUGUUGUAACAAAUUAUCAUAAAG